GCCUACGGGGCGCAGCAGUGGGGAAUAUUGCACAAUGGGGGGAACCCUGAUGCAGCGACGCCGCGUGAGUGAAGAAGUAUUUCGGUAUGUAAAGCUCUAUCAGCAGGGAAGAAGAUGACGGUACCUGACUAAGAAGCCCCGGCUAACUACGUGCCAGCAGCCGCGGUAAUACGUAGGGGGCAAGCGUUAUCCGGAAUCACUGGGUGUAAAGGGAGCGUAGACGGCUGAGCAAGCCUGAAGUGAAAGGCGGGGGCCCAACCCCCGGACUGCUUUGGGAACUGUACGGCUGGAGUGCAGGAGAGGGG
rnacentral:rRNA from 1 species